UAGUGUCCAUCUCAGGUGAAAUAGUGUCAGGAGGUUCAGUGACUCUGAUCUGCAGCAGUGAUUCAAACCCUCCUGCUCUGAACUUCAGCUGGUUUAAGGAGAAUGAAAGCUCAGCUGUUGGAUCUGGACAGAGUUUCAGUGCACUACAGAGUGGACGCUUCUACUGUCAGGCUCACAAUCAACAUGGAUCUCAGAGAUCAGAUGCUGUAACUGUCACAGUUCAUCAUGGUGCUGGUGGGAAUGUGAUUGUGAUCGCAGCGACAUCUGGAGGAUUAUUCUUCAUCAUCAUCAUCAUCAUCAUCAUAUUUAUAAUUCAGAAGAAAAGGAUAAACUGAAGAUCUAUAAAUGAGUAUGAGAACGUUGAUCCCAGUGAAGGCACAUAUGCAGCUCUUGACCUCAGACCCAGAUCUUCUGACCCCUAUGGCACACUCACAGUAAGUGAAAUAUCAAAAACUACACAUGCAGAAGAGUUUGUGCAUUCAAAACUCAUGUAAUAUGUUAAAUAAUAGUCUCUGUCUUUCACAAAGACUGUCCAUCCCAGACAUGCUGUUCACCAGUGAAUAUAACUCUUCUGAAUAUAAGAAUCUGUCUCUUCAGUAGAAUUAUGUUAUAAGAACGUUCUCUAAACAUUCAGUGUUGGUUCUCGGAACAUUAAAAACAUCAAGUUUUCUUGACGUUAGAGGAAAGUUUUUAUAAAUUAUAAUGUUCUAGGAACGUUGAUU